UUAGAAGCACUGAAGAAUGAAAUCUUCUAUCCACCGAAUAGAUUCAGUACAGGUAGCAGCAGUGCAAGCUUACUACACUGCCCUGCCAAUGUGCACCAAACCUAUUCAGAAAAAAAACCCAAAAAAGCCCCACUUCUUGACAUGCGAGAGUACUUUACCUCUUUUAUGAGGCCAACAACGUGACAGUG
rnacentral:sRNA from 1 species